UACCAGCACCCCGAGUGGUCGGGACGAUUAUUGGGCCUAAAGCAUCCGUAGCCGGUCCUGCAAGUCUUCCGUUAAAUCCAGCUGCUUAACAGAUGGGCUGCGGAAGAUACUACAAGACUAGGAGGUGGGAGAGGCAAGCGGUACUCAGUGGGUAGGGGUAAAAUCCUCUGAUCCAUUGAAGACCACCAGUGGCGAAGGCGGCUUGCCAGAACGCGCUCGACGGUGAGGGAUGAAAGCUGGGGGAGCAAACCGG
rnacentral:rRNA from 1 species